UCGAGCAGUUUCUUCCCUCAUCUUUCGACUUCUCUCUCAUCUUCUUCCUUCCUCCUCCGCCGGAGUUCCCUGCGGUGGACCACCUUGAGUUGGUGCUGGCCGACGCAGUGCUCCAGCCUCGCCCAUCAUCUCUCUCCGGUGAAAGGCUGAGGCCGCCAACGGCCGUGCCAAGAGGCGCUCCGAGAUGCUCCAGCGCAGCACCGCGCGCUUCCCCCGUUCUAUUCCAAUUCCUCUGAUUCGCUCUCCCGGCCAGAACACUUAUGCCAAGCCGAGCACAUCAACGGAGGAGGCGACUGCGGCAGGCUGGGAAAGCCAUGCCGCCCGUCCGCGGCGAUGGAGGCGAAAACAGCGCCGCUGGGGCUGCGUAAGGGUCAGAAGAAGCGGUCGGCAUUGCGAAUUUCCAGCUGAUGUCCCACGAGGAAAAUGCAGAGGGGUUACACGAGCUCCUCGACGCCGGCGCCGACCCCAGCUUCCUCGACGUCAUGCCUACCUCCAUCUGUGUGGAGCACGCAGCCGUCAUACAGCUGCUCCUCAAGCGCGGCAUGGAGUUUUGUCCGUCAUGGUUCUGCUACUGGCAUUCUCUCUGCACACGCGACGCGCUGCCGCUUCUCUCCAUGUGAAAUUUUAUACGAAGACUGUAGGACAUGAUCCACAAAUACACGGUUCUCUAGGACAUGUUCAACAAGCUACAGAUUAGUGAGAUACAAGAAUGCAGAUCGGAGGAUGUGAUGACUUGCCAAUAAAAUGAUCAAGAGCCUCAACUUUUGAUAUGCAGGAGUAUAUAUAUAGUCAGGUAUACUCUACAUCAUUCAUUUGCUCGAUGCUCAUAGUGAUAUGUUACUUGGUUCUUAGUUAAAGGACAGACAGUCCAACUAAACUUCUUAUUCUGAAUUUUGGAAAAUGCAUUCUUUUGCUCGAUGCUCAUAGUGAUAUGUUUCUCGCUAGCUGAUGUUGUUAUAGGAAAGAAAUGUUCUCUGAAUUGACAAAUUAAUUCGACAACCUACAGUUCGGACUGCUGUAUGUUCGACAAGUAGCCUAGAGUCUUUCAAGAUAACGCUUACGAUGUACAAAGUGCAAGUAACGUAGUCAAAUGUAACUUGCGACUUCUUUUAUGCACAUCAGUUCAACAGAGAGUUUCUAUGUUUCAAAGAAAACAUGCAAGUUACUCACAAAGUGAAUGGGUUCAUGCAUCAGAACGAAAUCGUGACUAAUUAUACAUAAGGCUUCAAGUUAUUAUGUCUCUCCUUGCAAGGUUAUAUAUACGUCUUUUUGGCUUGCCUUUUCUUCCCACUGGAACACAGGGGGGCCAUUCACAUCAAAGGUGGGGUAUUAUGAUUCAUUAAUUUUAGUCUUCCCAACAAAGUUUACAUGAUUUAUAGAUUGUUUUGGUUUAGGACUAAGGCUAAGUAGGACGAGUUAUUUCAAUUACCAUUGAUGUAUUAUCCAGUAACAUUAGCAUAUGGUUAUCCAGUAACAUUUCUGAUGGCUCAGUUUCUUUUCUACAUUAGGCAUGGGUAUCUCAGUGAGAAAAGAGUCUAUAUUUGAGUCACAGUCGAAGUGAGAUUUGUUUACUCUACCACUAGGUACAUUUGUUUACUUACUCACCACGGGCCAGCCAGGUGCUGUUAGUACUUACACAAACGAAGUAUCUGGGGCAAUCAUUUGGAUGACACAUGGAUGAGUCGAAGGAUUGAGAUUUAUAAGGUUUCUCAUCGGUGGGAAGGAAUCAUGAAUUUCAGUUCUGGCUUAUGACUUUCAGGUGGACGAUGGCAAACUUUGUGAACGGAUGAAUUACCUCAGGCAUGCUACACUCCAUAUCUUAUAUCCAUGGAAACUGGAAAGGAGUACUAUCAUUUCCAUAUACGCUGAUUUACCCUUUCCAACCAUUUGCACUUUUCAAUUUUCUUUCCUUCUUUGGUAAUUUGUUUAAUUCCCAAGGAAUUUGUGAUGCUUGAAGAAGUGGUAGACUGGUAGUUAGGUUUGGUCUGACAAACCAUUUGUACCAGUGGCCUAGAAUUUCAGUUGAAAACAAUGCAAGCAAGAAGCACUUAUUUGCUUAAAUGGAAUUGCCACUGUAGCUCUUGCAAUUAAUUCUUAUAUCAUUCAUUUAGAUUGCUCCGCAAGAUUUAUGCAGCAGUAAUACCGUAAGUGAGUUACCAGUGGUAAUUAAAUUGUAGAUUCAAUGCAAAAAAAUUGACCAUCCAGGUUUACAAUGUGAAAACAGUAGUGAUGAUACACACCUGGGACAUGGAUGAGGUCCACAUGAAGUACUCUGGGAUAGAGAAAAACGUGGGAUUUAAAAGGUUACCUUUUUCUCUACAAACAUAAGUUUAGAUUAAUUGUUUCAAUUCUGCCGUAGUAUCUUUUAUCUGCAACCAUGCAAACAUUAGAGCUGAUCUACUUUUAAUUUCCUUGCAUUCAGUUGUUACAUUCUGCGUACUUUCUAACCAUGACUUCAAACCUAGAUUACUAAUGGCAAGUUAAAUAUUUCUGUAAAGACCAGGAUUGGACAAGUCAAGGAGGUGUCGUUCGCGAGCUAAAUAUUUAUGAGGAAUGGUCAGCAAAUUUCGAAUAUAGCAUAAGUGCGCAAUUCUGCAUCUUCAAGAAUAAGAUUGGAUGCUCAACCGUCCUUUCUGUUUACUUCUUAUUUAGAGUUUUGUCCAUUGUAAUGUUUCUUCUCUCCAAAUCCAAAAUUCCCCGGACUUUGGGGACUGUAAAUUCCCAAUGUAGUUCACAAAAUAUGUCAUGUAUUGCAGGUUCCUGCAUAUUGUGGUUAACAAGAGGGUCUAUGUGGCACAUGCAGGCCAUUCUGAGGGGUGCAGAUUGAAGAAGUUUCUGGAAAUUAUUGUUUUUCUCUCAUCGAUUUUGGCACCACCACAGUUGCAGUCUUCAGGAAGGGCGGCCUUCAGUUCACCAAUUUUCCUGAGCUAAAGCCAAACUGAGGGAUACAUGAGGGGAAGAAAAAGAUGUACCUGAUGCAGAAGGUGACAUGGUACAACAGGAUGCCGACAACAUUGCAAGCCCUCAUCAUCGGCGUCUCCGGCCUUGAAUGUCGCCUCGGCGCUAUCGUCGCCAGCGACCGAGUGUUGCUGCCUAUCGCCGCGCUUUGUUCAUGCAGGGAGGCAGUGCCUGCUGGCGGCUCACGCAGCAGGGCGAGUCACCACCAGCGGACAGCCGGAACGACAUGCAUGACUCUAGGCUAAGAAUUGCUCACUUAUGCAAAAUUCUGGGAUAUAGCAUAAAUGAGCAAUUCUGAACACCAUGGCAUCAAGAUGCAGAGCAGGAUCAUGAUUGCCGAUUUGGUUGGGUCAGCAGGCGCGAAAGCACGCAACAACGACCCUUGGUCCGUGGAGGAGAUAGUGAAGUAUCGAAAGAGGUGGCCAUGGACAGAGUGAAGAAAAAGUGGAUCUAGAAGAGAGAAAGCAAGAGACGAGCUACAUGCAGGAAGAUAAGCUUCUGCAUGUAACCUUGUGCGUGUCCUGGUACGGUAGUCUGAGCUGGUCCCAACAAUGUACUUAUUUAAUACAAUGACAAAGUCUUUAGGUCCUUAUUGUGCCACGUCAAUGUCUGCCUAUAAUAUUCUUUGUUUUGUCAUUCUACUAUCAUCAAGACAUCAACCAGUUCCCCUGAAAUAGUUUACAGAUAUGUUAUUCGUU